rnacentral:rRNA from 1 species
CGUCUCGAAAGGGACGCUAAUACCGCAUACGUCCUACGGGAGAAAGCAGGGGACCUUCGGGCCUUGCGCUAUCAGAUGAGCCUAGGUCGGAUUAGCUAGUUGGUGAGGUAAUGGCUCACCAAGGCGACGAUCCGUAACUGGUCUGAGAGGAUGAUCAGUCACACUGGAACUGAGACACGGUCCAGACUCCUACGGGAGGCAGCAGUGGGAAAUUUUCCGAAAUGGACGAAAGUCUG